UAUAUAUAUAUAUAUAUAUAUUUAUUUUUUUCACACAAAUCCGAUAGUGUUUUUUUUUUUUUUUUUCCGUAAGGAUAUACUCGUAUUGUACAAGUAUAAUACUGCACGUGUUCGGUCGGUGUUCUGUGUCUUUAUACCGGACUCGCGUAACGCGUUAAAUCAUUUUAAUGGUAUCUAAUAUGAUAACACAUCCGAGCGCGGAAUGAUCGAACAAUACGUUUAUCGAAUUUUGUUUUGCAUUAAAUUUGUAUGAUGAAUCCCCGUAUCGCUAUAUCGCACUACAAAUUGACAUUCGGGCCGUCCGUGUAUUAUUUUACUCGUCCGGACUCGAUUUUCGUAACGUACGCCACGACGAUCAGCGUCGCGUUAAAUAUUAUUUUCUCGGUGUGUAUAAUUUUGCGUAUUUUCUAGAUAAAUGAGAAAUAACUAUUACGUUGU